rnacentral:rRNA from 1 species
AACGAACGCUGGCGGCAUGCCUAACACAUGCCAGUCGAACGAGACCUUCGGGUCUAGUGGCGCACGGGUGCGUAACGCGUGGGAAUCUGCCCUUGGGUUCGGAAUAACAGUUGGAAACGACUGCUAAUACCGGAUGAUAACGUAAGUCCAAAGAUUUAUCGCCCAGGGAUGAGCCCGCGUAGGAUUAGCUAGUUGGUGGGGUAAAGGCCUACCAAGGCGACGAUCCUUAGCUGGUCUGAGAGGAUGAUCAGCCACACUGGGACUGAGACACGGCCCAGACUCCUACGGGAGGCAGCAGUGGGGAAUAUUGGACAAUGGGCGAAAGCCUGAUCCAGCAAUGCCGCGUGAGUGAUGAAGGCCUUAGGGUUGUAAAGCUCUUUUACCCGGGAUGAUAAUGACAGUACCGGGAGAAUAAGCCCCGGCUAACUCCGUG